UUUAACUGAAGAGUUUGAUCAUGGCUCAGAUUGAACGCUGGCGGCAGGCUUAACACAUGCAAGUCGAGCGGGGGAAGGUAGCUUGCUACUGGACCUAGCGGCGGACGGGUGAGUA
rnacentral:rRNA from 1 species